UCGCUUGGUGCAGGUCGGG
rnacentral:ncRNA from 3 species